rnacentral:rRNA from 1 species
ACGAACGCUGGCGGCGUGCUUCACACCUGCAAGUCGAACGGAAAGGCCCUGCUUUUGUGGGGUGCUCGAGUGGCGAACGGGUGAGUAACACGUGAGUAACCUGCCCUUGACUUUGGGAUAACUUCAGGAAACUGGGGCUAAUACCGGAUAGGAGCUCCUGCUGCAUGGUGGGGGUUGGAAAGUUUCGGCGGUUGGGGAUGGACUCGCGGCUUAUCAGCUUGUUGGUGGGGUAGUGGCUUACCAAGGCUUUGACGGGUAGCCGGCCUGAGAGGGUGACCGGCCACAUUGGGACUGAGAUACGGCCCAGACUCCUACGGGAGGCAGCAGUGGGGAAUAUUGCACAAUGGGCGGAAGCCUGAUGCAGCAACGCCGCGUGCGGGAUGAAGGCCUUCGGGUUGUAAACCGCUUUCGCCUGUGACGAAGCGUGAGUGACGGUAAUGGGUAAAGAAGCACCGGCUAACUACGUG